rnacentral:rRNA from 1 species
GCGUGCUUAACACAUGCAAGUCGAACGAUGAUCUCCAGCUUGCUGGGGGGAUUAGUGGCGAACGGGUGAGUAACACGUGAGUAACCUGCCCUUGACUCUGGGAUAAGCCUGGGAAACUGGGUCUAAUACCGGAUACGACCGCUCCACGCAUGUGGUGGUGGUGGAAAGCUUUUGCGGUUUUGGAUGGACUCGCGGCCUAUCAGCUUGUUGGUGGGGUAAUGGCCUACCAAGGCGACGACGGGUAGCCGGCCUGAGAGGGUGACCGGCCACACUGGGACUGAGACACGGCCCAGACUCCUACGGGAGGCAGCAGUGGGGAAUAUUGCACAAUGGGCGGAAGCCUGAUGCAGCGACGCCGCGUGAGGGAUGACGGCCUUCGGGUUGUAAACCUCUUUCAGUAGGGAAGAAGCGUAAGUGACGGUACCUGCAGAAGAAGCGCCGGCUAACUACGUGCCAGCAGCCGCGGUAAUACGUAGGGCGCAAGCGUUAUCCGGAAUUAUUGGGCGUAAAGAGCUCGUAGGCGGUUUGUCGCGUCUGCUGUGAAAGACCGGGGCUCAACUCCGGUUCUGCAGUGGGUAC